AUGGCGGAGAGCACUGUCCGCCGCUGCCGUGGGUUACCGACGGAGCCCGACGGGGACAAGCGGCUCCUCGCGUGGGUCUACUGCCGGUCGCUUACAACGAUGGAGACGGACGCUCGGUGGCUCCAGCGGAAGAACGUGAAGGCUCUCCGGGUUGCCAUCAAGCAGCUCGAGCAUGAGGCCAAGGAGAAGGCAAUACAGACGGCUUGGCUGGCGAAGUUCAAGCGCCAGGAGGACCGGGCUGUCCAUCGGCUCAAAGGGUUCAUCAUCGUCUCCUCCUCCUCCUCCAACGACGAUGACGACGACGACAACGUCGAACACGGCUCCUCGUCCCGAUGA
rnacentral:rRNA from 1 species